rnacentral:rRNA from 1 species
CUACGGGACGCUCCAGUGAGGAAUAUUGCACAAUGGGGGGAACCCUGAUGCAGCAACGCCGCGUGGAGGAUGACGCCUUUCGGUGUGUAAACUCCUUUUAUAUGUCAAGAAAAUGACGGUAGCAUAUGAAUAAGCACCGGCUAACUCCGUGCCAGCAGCCGCGUGUAAUACGGAGGGUGCAAGCGUUACUCGGAAUCACUGGGCGUAAAGGACGCGUAGGCGGGUUGGAAAGUCAGGUGUGAAAUCCUACAGCUUAACUGUAGAACUGCACUUGAAACUUCUAAUCUAGAGUAUGGGAGGGGGAGAUGGAAUUAGUGGUGUAGGGGUAAAAUCCGUAGAUAUCACUAGGAAUACCUAAAGCGAAGGCGAUCUCCUGGAACAUUACUGACGCUAAGGCGUGAAAGCGUGGGGAGCAAACAGGAUUAGAUACCCUUGUAGUC